GGCUGCGCAGGAGGUCCCGGGGCUGCCCACUCACUGGUUGGCAUGGGCGUCUUGCCCGCGUGUCACACAGGGUCACUCGGCCGUGCAGGUGCAGAUGCUGGUUUCAUGCUGAGAACUUUACAUGGAUUGUUUCAUUUCAUCCUCACCGAACCCGUGAAGAAGACAAUACUUUUGCCCCCCACCACCCCUUUUUUAAAGAUGAGGAAACUGAGGCUCAAACUGAGGUUCAAAGAGCGUUGCCCAAGGUUCUGCAGGGAGCAGCCUGGCCCCAGCGCCCGCCCACACCCUUAAUCACUGGGUUCUAUAUCCUCCUGACAAGGGAGGAAUGACAGGCGAGGACAGGUUUGGCCGUGGUGUGUUUCAGAGCCUGGACUCUGGAGACUGAUGGUGUGUCCUGGUUGAAGUCCCCUAAACUCAGAGUCUUCUCUUGUUCUGUCAGCUGUACAGUGGGGGAAAUAAUACUUCAUAGGGUUGUUUGGAGGAAUAAAUAAGGUAAUAAAUGA